CAGUAGAGAGUGAAAACAAAAGGAUCAACUCUUUGGUUUAGAGUUGAUUCUCAACCUAUCCGUUUCUCCUUGAGAGAGUUCUAUCUCACAACAGGUAAUAAAGUUUUACAAUCGUUUUUAAAGCUUAAUUAACUGUCGUAGAAUGAUUUACAAGGCAUUUGCAUAACUGUUUGUGUAGUUUACAAUCGUUUUUAAAACAUAAGUAAGUGUCAUAGAUAAUUUACAAGGGAUUUUAAAAGCUUUUAAAAGGGGUUUACUUCAUUAACAAUCGUUUAAGAAGCAUAAGUUAGUGGCAGAUAAUGAUUUACAAGGGAUUUUAAAAAGGGUAUGCAUGGUUUACAACCGUUUUUAGGCAUAAGUAACUAGCAUAGAAUAAUUUACAAGGGAUUUUAAAAGCUUAAAGAAGUGUUAAACACGUUUACAAGGGAUUUUAAAAGCAUAAGUAAGUGUCUUAAAACGAUUUACAAGGGAUUUUAGAAGUGUUUGCAUAGUUUACAAUCGAUUUUAAAACAUAAGUAAGUGACAUAGAAUAUUUACAAGGGAUUUUAAAACCUUUUCUAAGGGUUAAACAUGAUUAGCAAUCGUUUUUUAAGCAUAAGUAAGUUGAAUAGAAUGAUUUACAAGAGAUUUUAAAAGCUUUUAGAAGGGUUAAACAUGAUUUACAAUCGUUUUUAAAGCAUAAGUAAGUGUCAUAUAAUGAUUUACAAGGGAUUUUAAAAGUGUCUGCAUGGUUUACAAUCGUUUUUAAACCAUAAGUUAGUGGCAUUGAAUGAUUUAUAAGGGAUUUUAAAAGCUUUUAAAAGUGUUAAACAUGAUUUACAAUCGUUUUUAAAGUAUUUACUAUAAAACCUGUAAUAAUAGUCUCUACACUGUCUUUUGUUCAUACAGGAAUUCAAUGUGAACCUGUUCAUAGGGAACUUCGACGAAAGGGGAAAGAUCCUGUAAAAGAACCAUACUUUUGGGCUAGUAAAGGAUCCUAUACUCUUGGUGAUCUCGAAGAUCGAUUGUUUUUAAAACCUAAGGAAGGUGAACCUGCUGUUGAAGAUGAAGAAAAGUUGUGUCUUGCUGCAGUAGUGUUGACUGAAGGAAUUCUUUUGACACCAUAUGGAAAAGAGAAGAUACCUUUGCCAAGAUUGCAGCAUGCUUCUGAUUUUGAGACGUACACAGCCCAACCGUGGGGUAAAGAAGCAUUCAGUGUUCUAUCAAAUUCAAUUCUGAGAAUGGACGAGAAAACUUGGGCAAAAGAGAAAUAUGAUUUGAGAGGAUUUGGACUAGCGCUAACAAUGUACUCUUUUUUUUCGCAGGCUGAAGAAGAAGGAGGACUAGAAAGAAAAGCAGAGGUAAUUGAAAAUCUUUACAAGCUAUUUUAAAGGUCUACUA
rnacentral:sRNA from 1 species